rnacentral:rRNA from 1 species
GACGAACGCUGGCGGCGCGCCUAACACAUGCAAGUCGAACGAGCGAGAGAGAGCCUGCUUUCUUGAGCGAGUGGCGAACGGGUGAGUAACGCGUGAGGAACCUGCCUCAAAGAGGGGGACAACAGUUGGAAACGACUGCUAAUACCGCAUAAGCCCACGGUGCCGCAUGGCACAGAGGGAAAAGGAGCAAUCCGCUUUGAGAUGGCCUCGCGUCCGAUUAGCUAGUUGGUGAGGUAACGGCCCACCAAGGCGACGAUCGGUAGCCGGACUGAGAGGUUGAACGGCCACAUUGGGACUGAGACACGGCCCAGACUCCUACGGGAGGCAGCAGUGGGGAAUAUUGCACAAUGGGGGAAACCCUGAUGCAGCGACGCCGCGUGGAGGAAGAAGGUCUUCGGAUUGUAAACUCCUGUUGUUGGGGAAGAUAAUGACGGUACCCAACAAGGAAGUGACGGCUAACUACGUG